UGGUAACACUUCUGCCUAUGAAAUUAA
rnacentral:piRNA from 1 species